rnacentral:siRNA from 1 species
ACAUUAGCAACAUCAACGACCUUG